CCCUUAGAUGUUCUGGGCCGCACACGCGCUACACUGAAGGAGGCAGCGUGUACUCCUGGAUCGAAAGAUUUGGGUAACCCGCGAAUCUCCUUCGUGCUAGGGAUUGAGGUUUGCAAUUAUCCUUCAUGAACGAGGAAUUCCCAGUAAGUGCAAGUCAUAAGCUUGCGCUGACUACGUCCCUGCCCUUUGUACACACCGCCCGUCGCUACUACCGAUUGAAUGAUUUAGUGAGGACUUCGGACUGGGACCGAUGCGGCUUUCGGGCUGCGUCGGUAUUCUGGAAAGAUGUCCAAACUGUAUCAUUUAGAGGAAGUAAAAGUCGUAACG
rnacentral:rRNA from 1 species